rnacentral:rRNA from 1 species
AAACCAGUAUUAAAGGCAACGCCUGCCCGGUGNAUAGUUUAACGGCCGCGGUACCCUAACCGUGCAAAGGUAGCGUAAUCACUUGUCUAUUAAUUGUAGACCCGUAUGAAAGGCAUAAUGAGGGUCUAACUGUCUCUUUUAGUAAAUCAAUUAAACUGAUCUCCUAGUCCAAAAGCUAGGAUACCAACAUAAGACCAGAAGACCCUGUGAAACUUUAACUAAACUAUUAAACCCUAUAAUAACUCCUUUAGGUUGGGGCGACCUUGGAAAAAAAAAGAACUUCCAAAUAACAUAUUAAAUAAUAAUAAAGUACAGGCCAACAAGCCUACCUACGACCCAGCACAGCUGAUAACUGAACCAAGCUACUCCAGGGAUAACAGCGCUAUCUUCUUCAAGAGCCCAUAUCAAAAAGAAGGUUUACGACCUCGAUGUUGGAUCAGGACAUCCUAACGGUGCAACCGCUAUUARGGGUUCGUUUGUUCAACGAUUAACAGUCCUACG